UUGGAGGGCAAGUCUGGUGCCAGCAGCCGCGGUAAUUCCAGCUCCAAUAGCGUAUAUUAAAGUUGUUGCAGUUAAAAAGCUCGUAGUUGAAUUUCGGGAUCAUCAGGUUGGUCGUGCCAUCGGUAUGUACUAGCUUUGGUGGUUCCUACCUCUUGAAGAACCGUAAUGUCAUUAACUUGGUGUUGCGGGGAAUCAGGACUGUUACUUUGAAAAAAUUAGAGUGUUUAAGGCAGGCAAACGCUUGAAUACAUUAGCAUGGAAUAAUGAAAUAGGACGUUUGAUCUUAUUUUGUUGGUUUCUAGGAUCGACGUAAUGAUUAAUAGGGAUAGUUGGGGGCAUUAGUAUUCAAUUGUCAGAGGUGAAAUUCUUGGAUUUAUUGAAGACUAACUACUGCGAAAGCAUUUGCCAAGGAUGUUUUCAUUAAUCAAGAACGAAAGUUAGGGGAUCGAAGACGAUCAGAUACCGUCGUAGUCUUAACCAUAAACUAUGCCGACUAGGGAUCGGAUGAUGUUAAUUUUUUAAUGACUCAUUCGGCACCUUACGGGAAAC
rnacentral:rRNA from 1 species